ensembl:rRNA 5S_rRNA 5S ribosomal RNA
GCCAGCAGCCAUAUCACCCUACAACUUACAACUGGCAUCCCACUGAAGCUAAGCAGGUGUGAGCCUGGUCAGUACCUGAAUGGGAGAUGUCCUGGGAAAACCUAAGGUUGCUGCUGGAA